GUCCAGACUCCUACGGGAGGCAGCAGUGGGGGAUAUUGCACAAUGGGGGGAACCCUGAUGCAGCGACGCCGCGUGGGUGAAGGAGCGUUUCGGCGCGUAAAGCCCUAUCGGCAGGGAAGAAGAUGACGGUACCUGACCAAGAAGCCCCGGCUAACUACGUGCCAGCAGCCGCGGUAAUACGUAGGGGGCAAGCGUUAUCCGGAUUUACUGGGGGUAAAGGGGGCGCAGACGGCAAUGCAAGCCAGGAGUGAAAGCCCGGGGCCCAACCCCGGGACUGCCCUUGGAACUGGUUGGCUGGAGGGGGGGAGGGGCAGGCGGAAUUCCUGGUGUAGCGGUGAAAUGCGUAGAUAUCAGGAGGAACACCGGUGGCGAAGGCGGCCUGCUGGACUGCAACUGACGUUGAGGCCCGAAAGCGUGGGGAGCAAACAGGAUUAGAUACCCUAGUAAAA
rnacentral:rRNA from 1 species